CGGCGAGCGGGGCUCGGGGGCCGCCGCCGCGCUCCAGAGGAACUGGUGCCUGGGGCUGCGGGCGCUGGAGCUGGUGCUGUCAGUGACGGCCGUGGGGCUGCUGACAGGCGCGCUAUCCUGGCCGCAGGUGGUGGCUGGUCACCGUCACAUCGCUCUCAUGUACUCCGCCUACAGCAGCUACGUCAUCAUCUGCGGCGUGCUGGUGGGUGCUCGUCUCCUGGGCGAGGCGGGCGGCUGGCGCUCGUCGCUGGCCUUCUCCGUGGUGGGUGCGGCCAUGUUCACGGCCGCCGCCGGCGUCGUGUUCUUCGACUGGCACAGAUCGUACUACGCCAACCUUCGCCCCAACAAGGAAGCCUACGACCUGCUGCUGUCCUCUGGGGUGUUCUCCGUCAUCAACGCAGCAGUUUUCCUCGUUCACGCAUUCCUUACUUUCAGAAAGGAAGCAGAUUAUUAAUUAGGACAGACAUGACAUGACGUGUCACCUAUCAUCAUUAUAAUAUGGCCGCUAUUAGUUUAAACAGAUCACUAAUAAUUAAGUUUAAAGCAUGUUAUAAACAUAACAACGAUACUAUCACUAUUUGUUCACUCCAAAGUUAAUUAGCUAUAAUAUUAAUUAAGAAAUCUGUAUAUAAAAUAUGUUGUCCUAUGUUGUACAUUCCAUUACGACAUUUGAAUUGUCUUUUAAAGUUUAAGUUUAAUUUAAGAGUUGCGAGAGCCACCGUCGUAACAUGACUCACCUCUAGUAAUAAUAUAAUAUAAUGCACAGUUUUAGUUAGUAACAGCUUGUAAGUAUUUUAUGUUAUGUUAUAGUUUUAGAAUAGGAAGACCAAAGCAGUAAUCAGUAUCCGUCCACUAAUUGUAGAUUAUAAAUUUAUUUUUCAGUCUUCAUAAUAAAUAUAUAAAGUCUUAUUUUAUUUCUAAUUACACAUUUAUAUAUUAUUAUUUAUUCUUUGCUUAUUUUUAAUGUUUAUGAGAUUUAUUGUUUUAUAUUGACUGUAUGACUUAAGUUGUACCACUCAUAAGCGUUCCUGUUUACUUCUUUUUUGUUCUUUAAAUCUUUGUAACGAACUACUUUAUUAGUAAGUUAAAAGAUAAUUCACGGUUUUUAAUAUAGCAUUUUUGUUAGUGAGUAAGUAAGUAACCUUUACAUCAUUUUAACGGCAAGGGUAAUUAUUUAUUUAAACAUAUUAAUCAUAGAUUGUUAAGUGCAUCAAUGUUUAUUUCGGCGCUAAUGUUACCUUAAUAUAUAUAAAUUUCAAAUCAUAUUUACAGAAGGUACUCGCGUAACGUUAUCCAUCGUAUAACAAUUGUAUUAAUUAAAUAUAAAAGUUUAUAAUUUGUUCUUGUGUAGUUAUAUAAUAUAUAAGAACAUAUAUAAUACCAAAUAUAUAUUAUGUACUUACAACUUGAUAUUCAAAACAUUUAAAUUGUAUUCAUGCAUACGUUAUAAUUAAAUAUUGUAUUUAUGACAA